AGCGAACGCUGGCGGCAGUCUUAACACAUGCAAGUCGAACGCCCCGCAAGGGGGGUGGCACACGGGUGAGUAACACGUGGGCACGUACCCUUUGGUUCGGAAUAACUUGGGGAAACUCAAGCUAAUACCGGAUAAGCCCUUAUGGGGAAAGGUUUACUGCUGAAGGAUCGGCCCGCGUCUCAUUAGCUAGUUGGUGAGGUCAUGGCUCACCAAGGGUGCGAUCAGUAGCUGGUCUGCGAGGAUGAUCAGCCACCCUGGGACUGAGACACGGCCCAGGCUCCUACGGGAGGCAGCAGUGGGGAAUAUUGGACAAUGGGGGCAACCCUGAUCCAGUCAUGCCGCGUGAGUGAUGAAGGUCUUAGGGUUGUAAAGCUCUUUUACUCGGACCGAUAAUGACUGUACCGGGAGAAUAAGCCCCGGCUAACUUCGUGCCAGCCGCCGCCGUAA
rnacentral:rRNA from 1 species